CAUUUCCAUUCCUUAUAUGCAAAUGAACGGGGCGUGGUUAGCUCACAGGUCCAGAGACCCAGACCAAAGCAACAGCACCACACUGACUACUCGAGAAGAGGAAGAAAAUGGAGGAGAAGGACUAUAAGGCAAACUACUAAAUGAAAAUAACAACAUGGAAGACGUCGGUGGGCUCCAAGACUUAACUGGUUCUUAUCUGGUCUUCUCUGGUCCGCCCAAUGCUGCUCUUCUGAGAGCAACCGCUCUGACAGCUCUCUCUAGUCUCUACUGGGAAACAGCUAAAAGUCCUUCUGGAGGCUUUGCAUUUGAACUCCUAUGACUGGUUGCAGACUUGAAGGGAACGCCUUCCUGACAUCCAGGAACAAGUUUUAUUGGACAGGCAGUAGAGAUCUACUGGAAACAGUGGAGAGGGAGGAGAUGAUAUGCAGCAUACGGCCCAGCCGGAUGGUUGCUGCUCCGUGUGGAACGUGUCCUAUCAGGUGUAACAUCUACCAAUGGUUGUACAUGACAGAGACCUCCUCCGCCUCUUUGCUGUCUUACUAGUCAAUCCUUCUGAUCAGGUCCUUUCCUAAAUAGUGAAAGGAUCAUGCCAGCCCACAUCAAACACCUGAUCAAGAGAUUGUGAACCUCACUGCUGCAGACACCUGUGUGAUAUUCCACUCUGACUGGAACCCUCAAAAUGACCUGCAGGCUCAAGCUCGGUGUCAUCGUUUUGGCCAGUCUAAGGCGGUGGAGGUGUACCGUCUGAUCACUAGAAACUAUGAGAGGGAAAUGCUGGAUAAAGCUAGUCUGAAGCUCGGGCUGGACCGUCCCGUCCUGCAGAGCAUGAGUGGCAACAACAACGGGCCGGUCCAGCACUUCUCCAAGAAGGAGAUCGAGGACCUGCUGAGGAAAGGAGCCUACGCCGCCAUCAUGGACGAGAACGACGAAGGCAAUCGCUUCUGCUAGGAGGACAUCGACCAGAUCCUGCAGCGAAGAGCCACCAUCAACACCAUCACCAGUUUGCUUCAAGCAGUGGCUGCACGAGAAAGACGUGGAGGACCAAGAAAUGCUGGCCAGAUUGGCAAAGACCGGAAGAUACAUAACAGAGAAGAUAAUGGAUAUUAACAAGAAAAAAAAAAAAAA